GGAUUAGAUACCCUGGUAGUCCACGCCCUAAACGAUGAUUACUGGACAUUUGCGAUAUACAGUGAGUGUCUGAGCGAAAGCAUUAAGUAAUCCACCUGGGAAGUACGUCCGCAAGGAUGAAACUCAAAGGAAUUGACGGGGGUCCGCACAAGCGGUGGAGUAUGUGGUUUAAUUCGAUGAUACGCGAGGAACCUUACCUGGGCUAGAAUGCGCGUGACCGGUUCUGAAAGGAACUCUUCUAGCAAUAGACACAAAGCAAGGUGCUGCAUGGCUGUCGUCAGCUCGUGCCG
rnacentral:rRNA from 1 species